GACGAACGCUGGCGGCGUGCUUAACACAUGCAAGUCGAACGGUAAGGCCCUUCGGGGUACACGAGUGGCGAACGGGUGAGUAACACGUGGGUGAUCUGCCCUGCACUUCGGGAUAAGCCUGGGAAACUGGGUCUAAUACCGGAUAGGACUCCUGGCUUCAUGGUUGGGGGUGGAAAGCUUUUGCGGUGUGGGAUGGGCCCGCGGCCUAUCAGCUUGUUGGUGGGGUAAUGGCCUACCAAGGCGACGACGGGUAGCCGGCCUGAGAGGGUGACCGGUCACACUGGGACUGAGAUACGGCCCAGACUCCUACGGGAGGCAGCAGUGGGGAAUAUUGCACAAUGGGCGAAAGCCUGACGCAGCAACGCCGCGUGAGGGAUGACGGCCUUCGGGUUGUAAACCUCUUUCAGCAGGGAAGAAGCGAAAGUGACGGUACCUGCAGAAGAGGCACCGGCUAACUACGUGCCAGCAGCCGCAGUAA
rnacentral:rRNA from 1 species